AGUGAACGCUGGCGGCGUGCUUAACACAUGCAAGUCGAACGCGAAAGGGUAGCAAUAUCCGAGUAGAGUGGCGAACGGGUGAGUAAAGUGUGGGUAAUUUGCCUUCCAGAGGGGGAUAACCCGGCGAAAGCUGGGCUAAAACCGCGUAACAUUCAAUCCAUUACGGUGGGAUGAAUCAAAACAUGGCCUCUAUUUAUAAGCUAUGGCUGGGAGAUGAGCCCACAUCCUAUCACGCUUGUUGGUAGGGUAAAGGCCUACCAAGGCGACGACGGGUAGCCGGCCUGAGAGGGUGUCCGGCCACACUGGAACUGAGACACGGUCCAGACUCCUACGGGAGGCAGCAGUGGGGAAUUUUUCGCAAUGGGCGCAAGCCUGACGAAGCAACGCCGCGUGGAGGAUGACGGCCCUCGCGGUCUUAAACUCCCUGUCUAGUGGGACGAACUUCUGUGGUGAAUAAUCCGCAGAAUUGACUGUACUACUGGAGGAAGC
rnacentral:rRNA from 1 species